AAAGUCGUAACAAGGUUUCCGUAGGUGAACCUGCGGAAGGAUCAUUACCUAGAGUUUGUGGGCUUUGCCUGCUAUCUCUUACCCAUGUCUUUUGAGUACUUACGUUUCCUCGGCGGGUCCGCCCGCCGAUUGGACAAAAAUUAAACCCUUUGCAGUUGCAAUCAGCGUCUGAAAAACAUAAUAGUUACAACUUUCAACAACGGAUCUCUUGGUUCUG
rnacentral:misc_RNA from 1 species